rnacentral:lncRNA from 1 species
AGAGCAAUUUAGGGAGUUGAGAGAGAGUUCAAGAGCUUGCAUUUAUAAGCUCUUGUUACAGUGAUUGAGAGAGUUUGGGUGUAUUGGGGUUUUGGGUAGUGAGCUAAAAUACUACAAUACUUGUAACUCCUUUUCACUAGUAAAAUAUUUCCUUCUGUCUUCGCCCGUGGAUGUAGGAUAAAAGCCGAACCACGUAAUUUCUGGUGUCCUCUAUUGUGCUUGUUCUUUAUUUUAUUUCCAAUUUCAUUUUAGCUGCGGUCCUGCUUCACCCACCAAUUUCCUAACAGUGGUAUCAGAGCUAUUGGUUGUAUUUUUUGGAGUCAGG